rnacentral:rRNA from 1 species
UACGUAGGGCGCAAGCGUUAUCCGGAAUUAUUGGGCGUAAAGAGCUCGUAGGCGGUUUGUCGCGUCUGCCGUGAAAGUCCGGGGCUCAACUCCGGAUCUGCGGUGGGUACGGGCAGGCUAGAGUGAUGUAGGGGAGACUGGAAUUCCUGGUGUAGCGGUGAAAUGCGCAGAUAUCAGGAGGAACACCGAUGGCGAAGGCAGGUCUCUGGGCAUUAACUGACGCUGAGGAGCGAAAGCAUGGGGAGCAAACAGG